AAUAACUUGUCAAAAGUUUGAGAAAAGUUUUGUGUAUAAGAAAAAUAAUUUAAAAUUUCAAAUUAUUAGUAAUUUUUAAUAAAAAUAAUUUUAGACUAUAGUUAAAAGUACUGUAAAGGAAAGUGGAAAAAUUUUUGAUAGUAAGAUUAAAAUUCUGUACCUUGUGUAUCAGGGAAAAUUUAUAUAAAUUAAUAAUAUUAAGUAUCUCGAAAUAAAAUAUAGCUAAUUUUAUAAAAAAUUUUUUGUAGAAAAUAAAUUUUCAAUGUGAAAUUAAAGGUGAAAUGCUAAUCGAGUUUUAUAAUAUCUAGUUUUUUAAAAAUAAAUUUAAUUUGAUUUUUGCAUAGUUAAAAUGCAAAAAUUAAGUGUAGGAGGGAUUAGCUUCUUAUAAAAUAAAGUAAUGAAGAGUUUAAACUAAUAAAAGUGAUAAAUUAGGCUUAAAAGUAGCUAUAUUAAUAAAGUGUUUUAACUAAAUUAAAGUUAGAUAAUAUUUGUAAAAACUUUUUGUAGUAUUAAAAAAUUAAUUUAAACUUUAAAGGUUAAAUUAUAAUGAUUUUAUUAGUAAAUUUUAUUGUAAAUAGGUGUAAUAAAAUAUUAAAAAUCGUCUAAAAAAAAGUUGAUAAUAUAAAGGAACUCGGCAAAAAUUAUUUCUUUGCCUGUUUAUCAAAAACAUGUCUAUUUGAAGUUAUAAAAAGUUUAACCUGCCCACUGAUAAAUAAUAAAAAUUGAAUGGCCGCGGUAUUUUGACCGUGCAAAGGUAGCAUAAUCGUUAGUUUUUUAAUUGGAAUCUUGUAUGAAUGGUUGGACAAAAGAAAGUCUGUCUUUUUAUUAUUUGUUGAAUUUAACUUUUAAGUGAAAAGGCUUAAAUGAAUUAAAGGGACGAUAAGACCCUAGAAAGCUUAAUAUUAAAAUUUUGUUUAGUUAAAUUUUAUUACUAUAAAAACUUAGCAAUUAAAUUUAUUUUAUUGGGGCGAUAAAAGUAAAAUGAUUACUAACUGCUUAAUUUUAAAUACAUUAAUGAAUGAUUAAAUUUUUAAAUGAUCCUAAUUAAAGAUUAAAAGUUUAAGUUACUUUAGGGAUAACAGCGUUAUUUUUUUUGAGAGUACUUAUCGAAAAAAAAGUUUGCGACCUCGAUGUUGAAUUAAAAUAUCUUUGUAAUUGCAGCAGUUACAAAAGUAGGUCU
rnacentral:rRNA from 1 species